rnacentral:rRNA from 1 species
AUUGAACGCUGGCGGCAGGCCUAACACAUGCAAGUCGAACGAGUGGCGGACGGGUGAGUAAUGUCUGGGAAACUGCCUGAUGGAGGGGGAUAACUACUGGAAACGGUAGCUAAUACCGCAUACCAUCAGAUGUGCCCAGCUUGGAUUAGACUGUUGGUGGGGUAACGGCUCACCAAGGCGACGAUCCCUAGAUGGUCUGAGAGGCUGACCUGCCACACCGGAACUGUGCUACGGUCCAGUCUCCCACGGUAGGCAGCAGUUGGGAUUAUUGCACAAUGGGCGCAAGCCUGAUGCAGCCAUGCCGCGUGUGUGAAGAAGGCUGUCGGUUUUUAAAGCACUUUCAUCGAGGAGGCGUUACUCGCAGAAGAAGCACCGGCUAACUCCGUGCCAGCAGCCGCGGUAAUAC